GGUGGCUCAGUGGUAGAGCGCUUGCCUUGUAUGCAUGAGGCCCUGGGUUCAAUUCCACAGGACCA
rnacentral:tRNA from 1 species